ACGCCCGAAUGCUCUUGUUUCGAGCAUAGAGGCAAUGACGUAUGAAGAUGACAAAUAUAACAUUAACGUAGUAUCUUGCAAUAAAACGUGCACAUCAGGUGGAGACGAUUGCCCUCUAGGCUGUUUCUGUGGCGUGCUCGGGCACAACACUACAGGUCAUUGCUACAUGUUUACGGGCAACUUUCCUGAGUAUGAACCAGUUGUGCUGCCUUGAAGAGGCAACCUACGUAUUGGAUGAAUAACACAGGUGGACAAGAAUUCUGCAGAACUUCGUUCGCUUAGGCAAAGCUAAAUAAAAUCAUGAACUACCAACGCA